UGCCAGCAGCCGCGGUAAUACGGAGGGUUCGAGCGUUAUCCGGAUUCACUGGGUUUAAAGGGUACGUAGGCGGAUAGAUAAGUCAGUGGUGAAAGCCAGCAGCUCAACUGUUGAUGUGCCAUUGAAACUGUUUAUCUAGAGUAUGGUUGAGGUGAGUGGAAUGAGUCAUGUAGCGGUGAAAUGUAUAGAUAUGACUCAGAACACCGAUUGCGUAGGCAGCUCACUAAGCCAUUACUGACGCUAAGGUACGAAAGCGUGGGUAGCGAACAGGAUUAGAUA
rnacentral:rRNA from 1 species